rnacentral:lncRNA from 1 species
AUGCUCCCAGCUAAACCCCGGGCAGCGUUUUGGCCACAUGCACCCCUCCUGCAGCCCUCACCCACCAGGAGCCACCCAGGAGGGUUUUUUUUUUUAGCCUGUUCCCUACCCAGGCAUCGGGAAGGGAGAAUUUCUCAGCAUUUAUCAGUGGAAGCAAUUAGGAAACGUGGGUAUUUUGUUUUCCAGCACAGGGAGCAGCCUUUCUCCCCCAAAACGCUGCCGAACCCCCCAGGAUCUGGAGGAACAACCCCGAUGUAUUUACAGAGUUUUGUCCCUGCCGAGGACGAGGGAGAAGAGGAGUCCCAGACCUCCAGGGAUGGAAAACAUUUCAGCCCUGACCCUCUGGAGACACCGCUUGAUGGGAGCAGAGCGGGAGCAGCCGGGGCUGCCAAGCUGGCAGGCGACAGCAGCGUGCCCCGGCCGUGCCGGGAACCCCUGCCCGUGGCAGCCGACAGCUCGCUGGAGAGAGCGAACGUUUUUCUGCUCAGGGGCAGAUGCCAGCACCUCCCUUCCCCCUGUGCUGCAGCCCUGGCUCCGAUAUCCGUCUGUCUGUCUGUCUGUCUGCUCACAGCCAGCUGCCAAGGGGCGCACACGGGGCCAAGCCGGGCAGCGCUCCCAGCCCUGGGCGCACAUCCGAGGAGCAUUUCUGCACCCCCAGAACACAAACCCGGCUGGGAGAGGAUCCCCAAAGCCCCAGGGGAGCGCAGGGGGCAGGCUUCACCCCCUGGGCCCUGCCACCCUGGGACCACGUCGUGUUCACGCGGGGAUUUGGGGAUGCUAAAGCCCAGCAGGCUGCUGCAGCGGGGGGUGAUAGGAGAGGAGCAGCUCCGCUCCCAACCUUCUCCAUCGCAGGGAAGCAUCCCCCCUCCCCUAAAUGUUCUCGCCCCCCAGGCUGGGGUUUCUGCGUUCUGCAGCUUGGAGGCAGAAGCCUCCCCUCCCAGCCCUCCCCUCCCAGCCCCGCGGUGCCCGUGGAGGCGGCUGUGCGUGGGCAGGGAGCAGGAACGCCGCGUCCCCGUGGCCUUGCAGCCGAAUACCAGCCCGGGGAUGGGAGCAGCCCCCGGGCAGCCUUGCAAAACAGCAGCCAGGGACAAAACCCACGCCGUGCCCGCAGCCCAGACAGCCGGGGCAGAGAGAAAGAGCAUCACUGCACCCCAGGGAGCCGGUCCCAAAUUUCAAAGAAAUGCAAACCAGGGCCAGAGAGCAGCAGGAGCUGCUGGAGAUUUGGAGACCCGAGCGCUCCGACCACCAGCCUGCGUGUUCCUAGUCUCACAUCAGCAAACAUACACCGAACAAAAAAGCCUCCCCGCAGAAAAAGAGGGGGACAAAAAGUGCCGCAAGCUCUAG